rnacentral:rRNA from 1 species
AGAGUUUGAUCCUGGCUCAGAUUGAACGCUGGCGGUAUGCUUAACACAUGCAAGUCGAACGGAAACGAUACUAGCUUGCUAGUAGGCGUCGAGUGGCGGACGGGUGAGUAACGCGUAGGAAUCUGCCUGAUAGUGGGGGAUAGCCCGAAGAAAUUCGGAUUAAUACCGCAUAAUCUAUUCGUAGUAAAGUGGGGGACUUUCGAGCCUCACGCUAUCAGAUGAGCCUGCGUAAGAUUAGCUUGUUGGUGGGGUAAAAGCCCACCAAGGCGACGAUCUUUAGCUGGUCUGAGAGGAUGAUCAGCCACAUCGGGACUGAGACACGGCCCGAACUCCUACGGGAGGCAGCAGUGGGGAAUAUUGGACAAUGGGGGCAACCCUGAUCCAGCAAUACCGCCUGUGUGAAGAAGGCCUGAGGGUUGUAAAGCACUUUCAAUUGUGAAGAAAAGUUAGCGGUUAAUAACCGUUAGCCUUGACGUUAACUUUAGAAGAAGCAC